UCGCCAGCUCAACAUGCUGAGUUACACCAGGCAACACCAACCUGGCUCUGCCAGUCCCUAGCGUGUCAAGGCAUCCCUGAGAGUUACACACCUACGUCUUGGGCAGAAUGCUCAUUCAUGACAGGCCUAAGUGACACUGUGUUGGCCCUGUUCCCAUCUGUGACACGGAAAGACUACUCCAAGGUUCACAGCAAGAAGGUUCUUUCCUAAAUUGACCUAGGAGCCUGAGAAAUCAAUUAUCUUGGAGGUUGCGGUCUGGCUCCGUCGCCAAGGAUGAGAUCCAGGAGAAAACGUGCUUAACGUGCAGCUCUGCUCCUCCUGAUUACAGCCCCACAGACGACAUCGCUCCACAGUCACACCAAGUCGCCUGUGGGAGUCUUGCUUCCAUGCCCAGAGCCUGCUACAUAGCUCAGUAUUUUAGUGUCAGAACGUCGGCUCCCAACCCGCACCGCCGCUCGCCAACGCCAUUACCUUCUCAGCCAAGUCCUAGAAAUGGGUUGGCUUCCCAGUUAACGCUUCUCCUGCUCUCAAGAGCAGCCAGGGCCUCUCGUACCCGAUUCCUGGAUUCGGUGCUACCCCUGCAGGAUCUGGCUCCAUUCCCUCCGUCUGGUCCUAAUUCUGUGCAAUGACAUCAUUUACCCACAUUCCCACCAAGAUGCCCAGAUUUCUUCUUGCCAGGCGCACAUCCAAAAAUCCCAAAUGACCUUGGGUGGGUAUUUCUGGCUAAGGACUCUCGGGGUUUUCUCUCUCCCGUGGAACCCUGAAGGCGGCAGUGAGGGUGGGAGGGAGUGAUUAACAUCUUGAUUUCUCCAAAUGAACGGCGAAAACCGAACUGAAGAGAGAGGUACACAGAGUCACUUUUCACGUAUUAAAAUGCCAGACUUUCUGACCAAUGACCCUGCCAUCCUGAUGGAGUUAACCUUCGAAGGCUUAAAUAGUAUCUACAGAAACUUCUCUGCUUGUCUCCCUCAAUUGAGGAGUGAAGCCAGGGCCCAAGGCCUUAGGGAAGCACACUAAAGAGCCAAAGGUCCCAGCUGUGUUAAAACUGGAAGCAGUUUUAACCUUACCCUGGAUUCCCAUCAGUGAAACCAAGUUAGCAGCUGUCUAGAGAUAACAAUCUCUCCUCAGGGCUUUCAGUCAAGUCCUGCUUUAAAAAAAAAAAAAAAAAAAAAAGCCUUAAAAUCUUUAGUUCCUGUGUCUUAUAGAAUACACCUUUGCCAGCUCAUGCACAUACAAGUCUGGGGUGUUUCAUAAAAGGUUUUGAUGACCUGAUAACAUGUUUUCAAACCCCAGGGAAGGAGGCUGACACAACAGUUAAAAACAAGAAAGUAAAAUGGCUGUCCUAAGUCUGGGAUGAUGGGAGAUCCUCAGUCCUUGCUCUCAGCCCACCGCCUCCUUUCCCCUUUCUCUUCUCUGGUUUCCAGAGCAGAGGUUUUGUCCAAGGCCAGGGUGUGUAGGAAGAGUGACCUGCUUGACCUAAAACACACAUACACCUCGAACCUCUUUCACGUCCCAGCCAGGAUGGAAGGCAAUCCCUUCUGCUGUGCUUCUCACCUCUGUCUUUCCUCAGAUGUAAAAGCGGAUGCACUGCUGUCGGCUGGCUUAGCCCUCAGACCUGCUGAGUUCACAGCAGUAAUCCUGAGAGGUGGUUGAAACCAUAAAGCAGAAUGAUUUUCAAGUUUAAAAACCUUUUGUAAGGAGCCACGGGUGACACACGCCUGUAAUCCCAACUCUUGGGGAGGCAGAGGCAGGUGGAUCUCCGAGUUCAAGGCCAGCGUGGUCUACAAAGUGAGUUCCAGGACAUCCAGGGCUACACAGAGAAACCCUGCCUCAAAAAACAAACAGACAAAGACAAAACAAAACAGGACUGUUAGACCAGACCAGCUGCCUGGAAGAAGCAGAAACCAGCUGAUCUGUUUGGAAGAUAUUUAUUUAGACCUGAGCCACUUGCAAAGGGCACUCUCCAACCUGCUGAGCUGCCUGGAGGCUGUGCGCUGUGCACCAGGUUGCAGGCUUUUUGUGAGCUGUCACCCAUGCUGGGGUGGGCCUUGGUGAUGCGGCUGUCCCUGAGUCAUUGCUGCUCCUGGAAGUAACCUCUCACCUACUCCUCUAAGUAACCCCAAUAAA